rnacentral:rRNA from 1 species
AACCUCCGCAAUGUGAGAAAUCGCGACGGGGGGAUCCCAAGUGCCAUUCUUAACGGGAUGGCUUUUCAUUAGUGUAAAGAGCUUUUGGAAUAAGGGCUGGGCAAGACCGGUGCCGGCCGCCGCGGUAACACCGGCAGCUCUAGUGGUAGCAGUUUUUAUUGGGCCUAAAGCGUCCGUAGCCGGUUUAAUAAGUCUCUGGUGAAAUCCUGUAGCUUAACUGUGGGAAUUGCUGGAGAUACUAUUAGACUUGAGACCGGGAGAGGUUAGAGGUACUCCCAGGGUAGAGGUGAAAUUCUGUAAUCCUGGGAGGACCGCCUGUUGCGAAGGCGUCUAACUGGAACGGUUCUGACGGUGAGGGACGAAAGUUAGGGCGCGAACCGGAUUAGAUACCCGGGUAGUCCUAACUGUAAACGAUGCGGACUUGGUGUUGGGGUGGCUUUGAGCUGCUCCAGUGCCGAAGGGAAGCUGUUAAGUCCGCCGUCUGGGAAGUACGGUCGCAAGACUGAAACUUAAGAAUU